rnacentral:rRNA from 1 species
GCUAGGAGGUUGGCUUAGAAGCAGCCAUCCUUUAAAGAAAGCGUAAUAGCUCACUAGUUAAGGAAUCUUGCGCCGAUAAUCUCCGGGACUGUUAAACUCAGUACCGAAGCUCUGGUCCCGGCACAUUUGUGUCGGGAGGUAGGGGAGCGUUCCAUCUACCUGUGAAGUCCUAGACGGGAGUCGGGAUGGAGGAAAUGGAAGUGAGUAUGCUGGCAUGAGUAGCGAUAAUUCCAGUGAAAUUCUGGGACACCAAAAGCCUAAGGUUUCCUGAGUAAAGUAACUCUGCUCAGGGUUAGUCGGUCCCUAAGCCGAGGCCGAAAGGCGUAGGCGAUGGAUAACAGGUGAAUAUUCCUGUACCACCCAAUCAUCGUUUGAACGAUGGGGGGACGCAGAAGUGAAAGAUCAGCCCGGUUUUGAUUGUCCGGGUUUAAGUGUGUAGGGAGUUCUGGCAGGCAAAUCCACCGGAACCAUCCUGAGACACGAAUAGGAGGGCCUAGCCCACAAACUGAUCCUAAUCAUGCUGCCUAGAAAAUCCUCUAAGUGAGAUUUUUGGGUGACCGUACCGUAAACGGACACACGUAGGCGAGAAGAGUAUUCUAAGGUGCUUGGGUUAAUCGUGGUAAAGGAACUCGGCAAAUUGGCCCCGUAACUUCGGGAGAAGGGGCGCCUCAAGUAGGUAAAGGCCUUCGCGGCUGGAGCCCAAAGAGGUCGCAGAAACCAGGGUUGAGCGACUGUUUACCAAAAACACAGGUCUCUGCUAAGUCGCAAGACGAAAUAUAGGGACUGACACCUGCCCGGUGCCGGAAGGUUAAGUAGAGGGGUUAUCUCGAUUCGUCGAGAGAAGCUCUGAAAUGAAGCCCCGGUAAACGGCGGCCGUAACUAUAACGGUCCUAAGGUAGCGAAAUUCCUUGUCGGGUAAGUUCCGACCCGCACGAAUGGUGUAACGACUUGACCACUGUCUCUACCACGAGCCCAGCGAAAUUGCAGUGUCGGUGAAGAUACCGGCUACCCGCGGCAGGACGGAAAGACCCCGUGAACCUUUACUACAUCCUGACAUUGGGUUUUGGUUAUGUAUGUGUAGGAUAGGUGGGAGGCUUUGAAGCUCGGACGCUAGUCCGGGUGGAGCCAAACUUGAAAUACCACCCUUGUAUUGCUAGGACUCUAAUCCCGACCCGUGAAUCCGGGCGAGAGACAGUGUUAGGUGGGUAGUUUGACUGGGGCGGUCUCCUCCCAAAAGGUAAC